rnacentral:rRNA from 1 species
CAGGACUUGACAUCCCGAUGACCGUUCCUUAACCGGAACUUCUUUACGGAGCAUCGGUGACAGGUGGUGCAUGGUUGUCGUCAGCUCGUGUCGUGAGAUGUUGGGUUAAGUCCCGCAACGAGCGCAACCCUUGUCGUCAGUUACUAACAUUCAGUUGAGGAUUCUGGCGAGACUGCCGAGGUUAACUGGGAGGAAGUUGGGGAUGACGUCAAAUCAUCAUGCCCUUUAUGUUUGGGGCUACCCAGUUGUACAAUGGGUCGACCAAUGAGAGGCAAACCUGGAGGGGGAGCAAAUUACCAAAACCGAUCCCAUUUCGGAUUCAGGCUCAAACUCGCCCCCCGGGGGUGGAGCGGUAGAAUCGCAGGUCAGA